CAUUUGAAAGGUAGAAUGACAGAGAGGGAGGGAGAGACAGAGAUAGAAAGAGAUCUUCCAUUUGCUGGUUCACUCCUCAGGUGUCUGCAACAGCCAGGACUGAGCCUGGCUGAAGCCAGGAGUCAAGAACUCCAUCCUGGUUUCACACUUGCUUGGCAGGGGCUCAAACAUUUGGGCCAUCAUCCACUACCUUCCCAGACGCAUCAGCAGGGGGAGCUAAAUGGAAAGCAGAAUAGCCGGGACUUGAACCUGAACUCUGAUCUGGGAUGUUGGCAUGGCAGGUGGCAGCUUAACCUACGGCCCCACAGCACGGGCCCCAUCAUCUGUUUUCUUGAACGUCUUUGCUGCAGUUACGUUAAAGAUUAUUUCUUUUUUUAUUUUAUUAUUAUUUUUUUGACAAAUAGAGUUAGACAGUGAGAGAGAGAGACAGAGAGAAAGGUCUUCCUUCCGUUGGUUCACCCCCCCAAUGGCCGCCACGGCCGGCGCGCUGCGCUGAUCCAAAGCCAGGAGCCAGGUGCUUCCUCUUGGUCUCCCAUGCGGGUGCAGGGCCCAAGCACUUGGGCCAUCCUCCACUGCCUUCCCGGGCCACAGCAGAGAGCUGGACUGGAAGAGGAGCAACUGGGACUAGAACCCGGUGCCCAUAUGGGAUGCCGGUACUGCAGGCGGAGGAUUAAUCAAGUGAGCCACUGUGCCAGCCCCUAAAGAUUAUUUCUGAGACCAAUUUUGGGAUUAUCUGGUGAGUUACCAGUUUUUUUCUUAGUUUUCCGUUUUGGGUUCUGUUUCCUGGAAAAAUCUGUGGCAGAACCGUCUGUAAAGCAUUGUGGCAGUCCUGGGCGAUGCAUCUCCCCCCAGAGGUGCUCUGGGUUCAUGAUGGCAGAUAAUGAGGGUCAAGGUGAUCUCCUUGGUACAAACAAGGUCUGAAAUGAUUCGAGUUUGCGGUUCAGGCUUUAUGAGCUCCUGCUGCUGUCUGCAGUUACUGUCCUGCUUUCAGCCUUCAGGGGUGAGCAAAGCCCUGGGGAAUUUACUGAGGCGCCCCCUCACUGGGCAGCCCUGAGCCGCAGUUUUUGUCCCCCGGGGUCAUUGUGAUGCUGCAGAAAUGUGUGCGGGCAGCAUCCUGUGCUGGCUCCCGGGCGCCUCACGCGUGCACUCCGCUUAAGAAUCCGCCAAGCCUCGAGAGGAAAUGGAGCAUUGCCCGUCGGCUUGGCUUCUUUAUGUUCCCCCUUUUCCCAGAAAUUUGGCCUCUUAGGUCCCGGUUUCCUUGGUUACGGUGCAUUCUGAUUCUCCUCUCUCACAGCCCAGCGAGGCAGUCGCGAGCUCCAGGCUGGGGCUUUCUGCUCCGGCUUCCUGUCCUUGGUUGUAAGACAGAAAAAUCCCCCGAAGAGAAGAGGCGGCUGCGGACGCACGGCUCCUCGCGGUGCGUGCCCCUGCCUCCCAGUACUGGCCCCGCAGAGCCUGGCUGCCUCAGUUGCUCUGAAGUCCUGAGAGAUCUUUGUAGAAUUUGAAGUGCUGAAAACCAUUGCGACUUACAGAAGAGUUGUAAAACCUGAGCAGAGGGCUGGCGGUCGCCCCUCACUCAUCUCUCCCUCUUGCUAACAACUUGCAAAUAACCUGUAUUGUUGGUACUUGAAGUGAGGUUUGCUGUUUUUUUGUUUUGUUUUGUUUUUUUUGUUUUGUUUUGUUUUGUUUUUGAGCUGAUAAAAGCAGAGAGUGGCUGUUAACUGGUGGAAUGAACAGAUGAAGGAACUGGUACAGAAGGCGACAUUUUUGGUGCAGGGCUUCCCAAAGGGUGGUCCCCAGACCCCUGCUGCCUGGAGGUCUGGCCCCGUGUUAGACGUCUCCACAGCUCAGUCAAGUGCAAGGCCACACCUUGGAGGUCUGGCCCCAUGUUAGACGUCCACAGCUCAGUCAAGGGCAAGGCCACACCUUGGAGGUCUGGCCCCAUGUUAGACCUCUCCACAGCUCAGUCAAGUGCAAGGCCACACUUUGCACGUACACACUUGGAAACUUAUAAUGCCUGUGCCCACGUGAUAGCUUCUGAAGGCGUUUUAACUAAGCUCUCUGUUUAACUUUAUUUUGCCUGGGUUUCCCAACUGACAUGGUCAGGAGCCGCUCUCCCGGCAUUAUUGUCCAGGGUUCUGGGGCACAUUCACUGGACAACAUUAUUCUGGAUGGAUUUCUGAGAAUCCCGAGGUAUAAAUUCUGCUUGCAUUUUUUUUUUUUUUUACAUUUUGUCCUGGGUUCUGGCUUUCUUUCUGUUUCAUUUUUUGCUUCAUCCAAGGGAAGAACACGGAAAGCCAAGAUUUCUCUCAAAACAGAUAUUCGCACCCAAAGGCGGCCAAGGCUGUGCCAAUCACAUUUACCGAUUAAGACCCCAGCACACAGCCGAGGCAAAAAAAACAAA